GAAAUGGAAAAAUGAAUGAUUAUUUUUCAAAAGAAAGUGUACAAACAUCAAUAAUUAUAUACUUCAGUUCUCAAACGUCCAGUCAAGCUAAAGCUACAAAUUCAAAUCGAAAAUUCCCAUAUAAAUCUGUACAAAGUGGUAGAAUACCUAUAAAGGGAAUACCUGUUUCAUUACUUCCACUGGCACAACCAUCCCAUUGUGGAAGAGAGAAGCUGUCACUGAUGUUAUCAGUAGAAGAAAUUAUAGUUGAUCAACCUGAUCCCGAAAACACAGCUAUGAACUAUGCACCAAUGAACAGAUGACAUCAAUACCAGGAAACCAACCAUUAACAUUUGAAACAUCAUCAAGUAACCAACUAUUGACACCAAUUACUGAACCAAUCCCGAAUGAACCAAUGGCAGCAAUUCUUAAUAGACAGUGGACAACCGAACCUCAUAAUGAACCACCAGUACCAUCACCCGUAAAUAAAACCCUAACACCCUCUAUUUACAUUGAUCAGGAUGGAAAAGUACAAAUUGUAGUAAAGCAAUCUUAACUUUAUACCCGCCUUUAUGUGCUAUAAAAUGUCAGUAAUUAAGUCAGUUAUCAUCUAGUUGUAUAUCACCAUGUACAAUAGCAUAACAUGUCAGUAAUCUAAUUGUUUAUAAUCAUGUACGGUAGUAUAAAAUGCCAGUAAUUAAGUCAGUUAUCACCUAGUUGUAAUUAUAUCACAAUUGCACCAGGGGGGUUGGAUGGCCGAAUGAUUAGCACGUGCGUGCUAUAUCAUAAAGCCUGUCAUUGAGUCAACUGGCGUGGUUUCGAUACCUCGGUUGUACGUGACAAGGAGUAGGGUCGCCUGUCCAACCUCGUGGGUUUUCUCCGGGUCCUCCGGUUUCCUCCCACUGCCAAAGACCCCUACGCGCAAGCGAAUUAUUGAAAUAAAAUU